UACGGGGGGGGCAAGCGUUGUUCGGAAUUACUGGGCGUAAAGGGCCCGUAGGCGGCCAACUAAGUCGGAUGUGAAAUCCCCAGGCUUAACCUGGGAACUGCAUCCGAUACUGGAUGGCUUGAAUUCGGGAGAGGGAUGCAGAAUUCCAGGUGUAGCGGUGAAAUGCGUAGAUAUCUGGAGGAAUACCGGUGGCAAAGGCGGCAUCCUGGACCGACAUUGACGCUGAACGGCGAAAGCUAGGGGAGCAAACGGG
rnacentral:rRNA from 1 species